rnacentral:rRNA from 1 species
ACUCUAAGCGGUGGAUCACUCGGCUCAUGGGUCGAUGAAGAACGCAGCAAACUGUGCGUCAUCGUGUGAACUGCAGGACACAUGAACAUCGACAUUUUGAACGCAUAUCGCAGUCCAUGCUGUUAUGUACUUUAAUUAAUUUUAUAGUGCUGCUUGGACUACAUAUGGUUGAGGGUUGUAAGACUAUGCUAAUUAAGUUGCUUAUAAAUUUUUAUAAGCAUAUGGUAUAUUAUUGGAUAAAUAUAAUAAUUUUUAUUCAUAAUAUUAAAAAAUAAAUGAAAAACAUUAUCUCACAUUUGAAUGUGAAAAACGAAGAGAAAUAUUUUCUUUUUCAAUCAAAUAAUACUGAGAAAUGUCUAGCAUAAAAAAUUGAAAUAUUUUUCAUCUAGAAUUGUCUCUUAUUAAUGAUUCGGAAAUAGAAAAAUCUUGGUUAUGUUAUUAUUCUUCGUUGGUUCGUUAAAAAUGGAUAAAUAAAAACUUUGCAUACAAGAAUUAAUAAAAAUGUUAUAACGAAUUUAAUUAAAUGUUUUAUCAUUAUAUAUAAAGAAUUUAUGGCAAGAUAAAGUUAUAUACAACCUCAACUCAUAUGGGACUACCCCCUGAAUUUAAGCAUAUUAAUUAGGGGAGGAAAAGAAACUAACAAGGAUUUUCUUAGUAGCGGCGAGCGAAAAGAAAACAGUUCAGCACUAAGUCACUUUGUCUAUAUGGCAAAUGUGAGAUGCAGUGUAUGGAGCGUCAAUAUUCUAGUAUGAGAAAUUAACGAUUUAAGUCCUUCUUAAAUGAGGCCAUUUACCCAUAGAGGGUGCCAGGCCCGUAUAACGUUAAUGAUUACUAGAUGAUGUUUCCAAAGAGUCGUGUUGCUUGAUAGUGCAGCACUAAGUGGGUGGUAAACUCCAUCUAAAACUAAAUAUAACCAUGAGACGAUAGUAAACAAGUACCGUGAGGGAAAGUUGAAAAGAACUCUGAAUAGAGAGUUAAACAGUACGUGAAACUGCUUAGAGGUUAAGCCCGAUGAACCUGAAUAUCCGUUAUGGAAAAUUCAUCAUUAAAAUUGUAAUAUUUAAAUAAUAUUAUGAGAAUAGUGUGCAUUUUUUCCAUAUAAGGACAUUGUAAUCUAUUAGCAUAUACCAAAUUUAUCAUAAAAUAUAACUUAUAGUUUAUUCCAAUUAAAUUGCUUGCAUUUUAACACAGAAUAAAUGUUAUUAAUUUGAUAAAGUGCUGAUAGAUUUAUAUGAUUACAGUGCGUUAAUUUUUCGGAAUUAUAUAAUGGCAUAAUUAUCAUUGAUUUUUGUGUUUAUUAUAUGCACUUGUAUGAUUAACAAUGCGAAAGAUUCAGGAUACCUUCGGGACCCGUCUUGAAACACGGACCAAGGAGUCUAACAUAUGUGCAAGUUAUUGGGAUAUAAACCUAAUAGCGUAAUUAACUUGACUAAUAAUGGGAUUAGUUUUUUAGCUAUUUAUAGCUAAUUAACACAAUCCCGGGGCGUUCUAUAUAGUUAUGUAUAAUGUAUAUUUAUAUUAUUUAUGCCUCUAACUGGAACGUACCUUGAGCAUAUAUGCUGUGACCCGAAAGAUGGUGAACUAUACUUGAUCAGGUUGAAGUCAGGGGAAACCCUGAUGGAAGACCGAAACAGUUCUGACGUGCAAAUCGAUUGUCAGAAUUGAGUAUAGGGGCGAAAGACCAAUCGAACCAUCUAGUAGCUGGUUCCUUCCGAAGUUUCCCUCAGGAUAGCUGGUGCAUUUUAAUAUUAUAUAAAAUAAUCUUAUCUGGUAAAGCGAAUGAUUAGAGGCCUUAGGGUCGAAACGAUCUUAACCUAUUCUCAAACUUUAAAUGGGUAAGAACCUUAACUUUCUUGAUAUGAAGUUCAAGGUUAUGAUAUAAUGUGCCCAGUGGCCACUUUUGGUAAGCAGAACUGGCGCUGUGGGAUGAACCAAACGUAAUGUUACGGUGCCCAAAUUAACAACUCAUGCAGAUACCAUGAAAGGCGUUGGUUGCUUAAAACAGCAGGACGGUGAUCAUGGAAGUCGAAAUCCGCUAAGGAGUGUGUAACAACUCACCUGCCGAAGCAACUAGCCCUUAAAAUGGAUGGCGCUUAAGUUGUAUACCUAUACAUUACCGCUAAAGUAGAUGAUUUAUAUUACUUGUGAUAUAAAUUUUGAAACUUUAGUGAGUAGGAAGGUACAAUGGUAUGCGUAGAAGUGUUUGGCGUAAGCCUGCAUGGAGCUGCCAUUGGUACAGAUCUUGGUGGUAGUAGCAAAUAAUCGAAUGAGACCUUGGAGGACUGAAGUGGAGAAGGGUUUCGUGUGAACAGUGGUUGAUCACGAGUUAGUCGGUCCUAAGUUCAAGGCGAAAGCCGAAAAUUUUCAAGUAAAACAAAAAUGCCUAACUAUAUAAACAAAGCGAAUUAUAAUACACUUGAAUAAUUUUGAACGAAAGGGAAUACGGUUCCAAUUCCGUAACCUGUUGAGUAUCCGUUUGUUAUUAAAUAUGGGCCUCGUGCUCAUCCUGGCAACAGGAACGACCAUAAAGAAGCCGUCGAGAGAUAUCGGAAGAGUUUUCUUUUCUGUUUUAUAGCCGUACUACCAUGGAAGUCUUUCGCAGAGAGAUAUGGUAGAUGGGCUAGAAGAGCAUGACAUAUACUGUUGUGUCGAUAUUUUCUCCUCGGACCUUGAAAAUUUAUGGUGGGGACACGCAAACUUCU